CCAGACUCCUACGGGAGGCAGCAGUGAGGAAUAUUGGUCAAUGGGCGGGAGCCUGAACCAGCCAAGUCGCGUGAGGGAUGACGGCCCUAUGGGUUGUAAACCUCUUUUGUCGGGGAGCAAAGCGAGUCACGUGUGACUCAUUGAGAGUACCCGAAGAAAAAGCAUCGGCUAACUCCGUGCCAGCAGCCGCGGUAAUACGGAGGAUGCGAGCGUUAUCCGGAUUUAUUGGGUUUAAAGGGUGCGUAGGCGGGCUUUUAAGCCAGCGGUAAAAAUUCGGGGCUCAACCCCGUCCGGCCGUUGAAACUGGCGGCCUCGAGUGGGCGAGAAGUAUGCGGAAUGCGUGGUGUAGCGGUGAAAUGCAUAGAUAACACGCAGAACUCCGAUUGCGAAGGCAGCAUACCGGCGCCCUACUGACGCUGAGGCACGAAAGCGUGGGUAUCGAACAGGAUUAGAUACCCUUGUAU
rnacentral:rRNA from 1 species